AAUAUGUUUUUUAUUUUACAUACUUUCGUCAGAUUUUCAACAAACAUUUAAACUUGCUUGUUUAUCGAUCUUAAUCGGAGGUCACAUUGUGUAGAGGUUAUGUCAUGCCGACUUUCCUUGUUUUUAAUUCUUCGGUGUAAGGUGAAGUCGCACUGAGUACAAUAUUUUUAAUGUUCCGACAGUUGUAUGAAUUGGAAUCUGCGUUUUAUUUGAAGCAUAUCUAAUAUAAAUGUUCACUGUUUUUUCCUACUUCUGGUUAUCGAUUUUUACAGUUUGUCACGUGGCGUAUUGGAAAACGAAAAUCGAAACAUUCUUUAAUAUUUUGAUGGAGAGAAGCGUUAAUAUCAUAGAUUUUUGUGUUUGAAAUUUUUAAUAUUUUGUAAUGCAGCAUGUAAAAUUUCAAAAAACUCUCCGCGAGAUCGCGCUUUUAGCGUAAAGCGGUUACGCUUAAAUGACAAUACAUGUACAUUAACUUCAAAUUGUCAACACUACCGGGCAAAGUAUCACAAUGUUAGCAUGCUUAUCUUUCAUCGAAACUCACAUCAUUUUCCCGAUUGAUACCGAUGGAACUGACGUACAAAAUAAAUACUAUAGUAAGCUUUAAUACAGAAUAAUUGGAAUUUUAAGUUGAAACAGGUAUGUUUUUAUCAUGAAAAUAAGAAAUUGACAAACUCACAAAAAUUAAACAUUGAUUAAUCGCUGUACGAGAUGGGGUUUCAUCAGCGGUAUUGUGGCGCUCUCUACACUUUAGAUCCAAGAAUUUUGGAACCAUAUCGAACGAAACGAAACGAAUGCAGUCUAGGUUAGGUAGUAAUGUGAGGAAUAAAUAACUAAUAACAUUAUGUCCGUAAUAUGAUUGGAUUCGUUCUAAAACAUAUUAAAAUGACGUUUAUAAUCAUGUUUGGUUUUAAUUAGUAUGACCAACCGCUGCGGCAUAAUUUUAGUCGGUAAUGUAGAACAUGAUAUCAACAUGUUAAUAAAAUUCUAUAUAACCUAAUGAGCGUCUGAAAAAUAAUACCAAUUUCAAUACAUGUAUUCAAACUUUUCUAUAACACACUGAAUCAAUUUGAUAUUUUUCAUAUGUAAAACAUUUUUAUAUUUAAAUUAUGAUUUUAAUGCUAUAGCUUACCAUACAAUAAUAUCUAGUUUUUAUUUUCAUAAAUAUGGUUGUACAAUCCGUAUCAAAACAGUGUUAAGAACAAUAGUUGUAUUGUUGUUAGGUAUGUUUUAUAAAGGCGCCUCUUCUAUUAUUGAAAUCUUUUACACAUUUACAUAUUUGUAUAUAUCUAGUCGGACUCUUUUAUUGUUUUGUUCUGGCGUAGGUACACAUUCUUUUUUUCGUUACAUAUUUGUAACACCUGUUGCAUCUGCCAGGUUCAUUCAAACAACAUGCACUUGUCCCGUACAACUAGGAUAAGCUGCAUUAAGACGUUAGGGAUGGUAAAGAAGCCGCCAAUCGAAGUUGAAAUAUUUUUUCGAAAUUAUAGUAUAUUAUACUAUAUUAUAUUAUAUUAUACUAUAUUAUACUAUAUUAUAUUAUAUUAUUUAUUAGAAAAAUGUACGUUCUUCUUAACUAAAUAAAAAUGCGCUAAGGCUGACAUUGAAUUAAGAGCAAA